rnacentral:rRNA from 1 species
GAGACUACUAGUGGCGCACGGGUGCGUAACGCGUAACCAACCUGCCCCGAUCUGGGGGAUAGCCCGCCGAAAGGCGGAUUAAUACCGCAUAUACCCGCAGCCUGGCAUCAGGCAACGGGGAAAGAUUUAUUGGAUCGGGAUGGGGUUGCGUGACAUUAGCUAGUUGGCGGGGUAAGGGCCCACCAAGGCGACGAUGUCUAGGGGACCUGAGAGGGUGAUCCCCCACACUGGCACUGAGAUACGGGCCAGACUCCUACGGGAGGCAGCAGUAGGGAAUAUUGGGCAAUGGGCGAGAGCCUGACCCAGCCAUGCCGCGUGCCGGAUGAAGGCCUUCUGGGUUGUAAACGGCUUUUCUCAGGGAAGAAAAAGACCUUGCGAGGUACACUGACGGUACCUGAGGAAUAAGCACCGGCUAACUCCGUGCCAGCAGCCGCGGUAAUACGGAGGGUGCAAGCGUUGUCCGGAUUUAUUGGGUUUAAAGGGUGCGUAGGCGGCCCGUUAAGUCCGGGGUGAAAGCCCACUGCUCAACAGUGGAACUGCCCUGGAUACUGGCGGGCUUGAGUCCAGACGAGGUUGGCGGAAUGGAUGGUGUAGCGGUGA